rnacentral:misc_RNA from 1 species
GAACUAAUUGCCUGAUUCUUGUGAACAUGUUUAUCUCUCUCCCUCAAAGAAUUGUUCUUUUGUCUUCCUGAGUUGUCUCUCUUUGAAAGGUGGUUGUUUGCAAUAGAUGUGUAACUUUUUUAUGCAUAGUAUGCUUCUGAUGUCUUGAUUAGAUCAAUCAAAAGUUGGAAUGAAUUGCUAGCAAGAAUUUAUCCAGUGUCAUUCCAGCACUAAUUGUGUUGAUGUAGUGGUGAUAGUUACUAUUUUUGGGAAAAGGGAGAAGGAUAUUUUGUUGGCAAAAUGAGUAGACAAGUCUUGGUGAAGGAGAAAUCCCUUAUAAAUAAAUCUCUUUGAUGGGAGAAAAUCGAACAUAUUAGAGGACAUUUACUUUGCCAUUGAUCGUGUGUAAU